UACGAAGGGGGCUAGCGUUGCUCGGAAUGACUGGGCGUAAAGGGCGCGUAGGCGGAUGGCAUAGUCAGAUGUGAAAUUCCCGGGCUUAACCUGGGGACUGCAUUUGAUACGUGUCGUCUUGAGUUCGGAAGAGGGUCGUGGAAUUCCCAGUGUAGAGGUGAAAUUCGUAGAUAUUCGCAAGAACACCAGUGGCGAAGGCGGCUCACUGGCCCGGAACUGACGCUGAGACGCGAAAGCGUGGGGAGCAAACAGG
rnacentral:rRNA from 1 species